CCUACGGGAGUCAGCAGUGAGGAAUAUUGGUCAAUGGACGAAAGUCUGAACCAGCCAAGUAGCGUGAAGGAUGACUGCCCUAUGGGUUGUAAACUUCUUUUAUAUGGGAAUAAAAUGUUCCACGUGUGGGAUUUUGUAUGUACCAUAUGAAUAAGGAUCGGCUAACUCCGUGCCAGCAGCCGCGGUAAUACGGAGGGUCCGAGCGUUAUCCGGAUUUAUUGGGUUUAAAGGGAGCGUAGGUCGAAUGUUAAGUCAGUUGUGAAAGUUUGGGGCUCAACCGUAGAAUUGCAGUUGAAACUGGCAGGCUUGAGUACACGAGAGGUGGGCGGAAGUCGUGGUGUAGCGGUGAAAUGCUUAGAUAUCACGAAGAACUCCGAUUGCGAAGGCAGUUUACUGGACCGCAACUGACGCUGAGGCUCGAAAGCGUGGGUAUCAAACAGGAUUAGAUACCCCUGUAGUC
rnacentral:rRNA from 1 species